rnacentral:rRNA from 1 species
GACGAACGCUGGCGGCGUGCUUAACACAUGCAAGUCGAACGGUAAGGCCCUUCGGGGUACACGAGUGGCGAACGGGUGAGUAACACGUGGUGAUCUGCCCUGCACUUCGGGAUAAGCCUGGGAAACUGGGUCUAAUACCGGAUAGGACCAUGGACUUCACGGUUUGUGGUGGAAAGCUUUUGCGGUGUGGGAUGGGCCCGCGGCCUAUCAGCUUGUUGGUGGGGUAAUGGCCUACCAAGGCGACGACGGGUAGCCGGCCUGAGAGGGUGUCCGGCCACACUGGGACUGAGAUACGGCCCAGACUCCUACGGGA